GAUGAACGCUAGCUACAGGCUUAACACAUGCAAGUCGAACGGAGCUUAUGUAGAAAGCGGAGCUUGCUCCAAUGGAAAUGUAAGCUUAGUGGCGGACGGGUGAGUAACGCGUGGGUAACCUGCCUUACACAGGGGGACAACAGUUGGAAACGACUGCUAAUACCGCAUAAGCGCACGGUAUCGCAUGAUGCAGUGUGAAAAGAUUUAUCGGUGUAAGAUGGACCCGCGUCUGAUUAGAUAGUUGGUGAGGUAACGGCUCACCAAGUCGACGAUCAGUAGCCGGCCUGAGAGGGUGAACGGCCACAUUGGGACUGAGACACGGCCCAAACUCC
rnacentral:rRNA from 1 species